AACGAACGCUGGCGGCAGGCUUAACACAUGCAAGUCGAACGCCCCGCAAGGGGAGUGGCCGCCGGGUGAGUAACGCGUGGGAAUCUACCCAUCCCUACGGAAUAACGCAUGGAAACGUGUGCUAAUACCGUAUACGCCCUACGGGGGAAAGAUUUAUCGGGGAUGGAUGAGCCCGCGUUGGAUUAGCUAGUUGGUGGGGUAAAGGCCUACCAAGGCGACGAUCCAUAGCUGGUCUGAGAGGAUGAUCAGCCACAUUGGGACUGAGACACGGCCCAAACUCCUACGGGAGGCAGCAGUGGGGAAUAUUGGACAAUGGGCGCAAGCCUGAUCCAGCCAUGCCGCGUGAGUGAUGAAGGCCUUAGGGUUGUAAAGCUCUUUCACCGGAGAAGAUAAUGACGGUAGCCGGAGAAGAAGCCCCGGCCAACUUCGUG
rnacentral:rRNA from 1 species